rnacentral:rRNA from 1 species
UUGGGGAUAUUGCACAAUGGGGGAAACCCUGAUGCAGCGACGCCGCGUGAGGGAAGAAGGUUUUCGGAUUGUAAACCUCUGUCCUCAGGGAAGAUAAUGACGGUACCUGAGGAGGAAGCCACGGCUAACUACGUGCCAGCAGCCGCGGUAAUACGUAGGUGGCAAGCGUUGUCCGGAAUUACUGGGUGUAAAGGGAGCGUAGGCGGUAUUGCAAGUUGAAUGUGAAAUCUAUCGGCUCAACUGAUAGGCUGCGUUCAAAACUGUAGUACUUGAGUGAAGUAGAGGCAGGCGGAAUUCCCGGUGUAGCGGUGGAAUGCGUAGAUAUCGGGAGGAACACCAGUGGCGAAGGCGGCCUGCUGGGCUUUAACUGACGCUGAGGCUCGAAAGCAUGGGGAGCAAACAGGAUUAGAUACC